UCGGGAAUUUUGGGCAAUGGGGGAAACCCUGACCCAGCAACGCCGCGUGAAGGAUGAAGUAUUUCGGUAUGUAAACUUCGAAAGAAUAGGAAGAAUAAAUGACGGUACUAUUUAUAAGGUCCGGCUAACUACGUGCCAGCAGCCGCGGUAAUACGUAGGGACCAAGCGUUGUUCGGAUUUACUGGGCGUAAAGGGCGCGUAGGCGGCAUGACAAGUCACUUGUGAAAUCUCUGGGCUUAACCCAGAACGGCCAAGUGACACUGUCGCGCUAGAGUGCAGAAGGGGCAAUCGGAAUUCUUGGUGUAGCGGUGAAAUGCGUAGAUAUCAAGAGGAACACCUGAGGUGAAGACGGGUUGCUGGGCUGACACUGACGCUGAGGCGCGAAAGCCAGGGGAGCAAACGGGAUUAGAUACCCUGGUAGUCCCUGAGCGGGCUGGCAAGGCGCAU
rnacentral:rRNA from 1 species